rnacentral:rRNA from 1 species
UACGUAGGGUGCGAGCGUUAAUCGGAAUUACUGGGCGUAAAGCGUGCGCAGGCGGCUUCGCAAGUCGAGUGUGAAAUCCCCGGGCUUAACCUGGGAAUUGCGCUCGAAACUACGGAGCUGGAGUAUGGCAGAGGGAGGUGGAAUUCCACGUGUAGCGGUGAAAUGCGUAGAGAUGUGGAGGAACACCAAUGGCGAAGGCAGCCUCCUGGGCCAAUACUGACACUCAUGCACGAAAGCGUGGGGAGCAAACAGG